CACUGGGGAGGGCAGACCCAAGCCUCCGCGCAGGGCGAGGGCCAGGGGUACCCCGUCUGAGGGAUGACAGGAGCCAAACUUGGAGCCCCCUCCUUUCCUGAGCUGGCGCGGGGACCCCCUUCUCUGCAGAAAGUGCUGUCUUGGGGGCUGGGGGCAGGGGUGGGGUGGGCACGAGGGCACGGAAUCCGGAUGGUUCUGGAGUUCCAGGUCUGCUCCUCACUGGCUGUGUGACUUGGGCAUCCCGCUCCCAGGCACUUACGCUGAGAAAUCAGGGUAUCCGUUCACAUGAAGACUUGUACACCCACGUUCACAGACACUUCAUUUGACGUAGCUUCACGCGGACAAGUCAAAUGGAUGAGCUGCUUACGCAUCAGGUGAAUGGGAAGCCAAUAGUGGUAAGUUCGUACAGUGGGGUGCCAGCCAACACCGAAGCAGGGUGCAUCCUUGUGCGCAAGGACAGCACGGAGGAAAGAGUCCUGGUGGCCGCCCGGCCGGGGCUGCGGUCCCUCCCCGGCAUCUCCACUGUUCGCUCAGCACCACUGCCCCAUCCACCCCGCCGCCAGGUCCUGCCCGCGCAGCCUCCAGGCUUUGCAGUGUGUUCCUCCUCACGGUGCAGACUCCCCUUGCUCUGGGCGAGGCUCGCCCUCGUGUCCCCCCUGGGCUGCCCAGGGGCUCUGAGUACCUGCACCCCUCUCUCAGAUCCGCCCCAUGGGUCACUCCCUUCCUCCGGGGUUUUCCGCAGGCCUCCUUUACUGCAAAGAACAGAGACCGCCCUGAGCUGCCUCCAGUGAUGAAACACGUUCAAGGGGAAGGAUGAUGUCGGUUAGGCCAGGAUGCUUGCUUGAAAACCCUCACCCUUGCCCCACCCGUCCUCACCUCCGCUUUCCUUCCUUUGCUGCAGCAGGCAGCACGGAAGAGUAGAGCCAGGGGCGCCCAGCGGGCUCAGGGUACAGCAUGCGGCACUUAACCUCAGGGUAGUGAGUUCAAGCCCCGUGCUCCUUGUGGAGCCCAGUUAAAAUUAAAAAAGAAAGAGUAGGUCCAGAGAUGCGAUUUUAGAGUUUGAGCGGACCCGACUGGACUCAGGGGAAAUAACGGGAAGACGCCACGGCCCUCAGGAAGCAAUGUUUAUUCUUUCACUUUUCAUGUGGUUCCUGCUGCCGCAUCUCUGCACGGACCAGUUCCUCUGCCUGGUCACAGCCCAACGCAGUCCCCUGCGCCCUGACACAGCACAAGUGACAACCUUUCACAACCACAGUUCUCUGGGUCCAAAAAUCCUCGGGAAAGACUGUCUUCUCUUUCUUUAUU